rnacentral:rRNA from 1 species
AGCAGCCGCGGUAAUUCCAGCUCCAAUAGCGUAUAUUAAAGUUGUUGCAGUUAAAAAGCUCGUAGUUGAAUUUCGGGAUCAGUACGCUGGUCGCGCCUUGUGUAUGUACUGGUGUUACUGGUUCCUACCUUCUGACGAACCGUCAUGUCAUUAAUUUGGUGUGGCGGGGAAAUCAGGACUGUUACUUUGAAAAAAGUUAGAGUGUUUAAAGCAGGCUCGCGCUUGAAUACAUUAGCAUGGAAUAAUGAAAUAGGACGUUCGAUCCUAUUUUGUUGGUUUCUAGGAUUGACGUAAUGAUUAAUAGGGAUAGUUGGGGGCAUUAGUAUUCAAUUGUCAGAGGUGAAAAUUCUUGGAUUUAUUGAAGACUAACUACUGCGAAAAGCAUUUGCCAAGGAUGUUUUCAUUAAUCAAGAACGAAAGUUAGGGGAUCGAAGACAGAUCAGAUACCGUCGUAGUCUUAACCAUAAAACUAUGCCGACUAGGGAUCGG